rnacentral:rRNA from 1 species
UACGUAUGGUGCGAACGUUGUUCGGAAUCACUGGGCAUAAAGAGCACGUAGGCGGUUAAGCAAGUCCAUUGUGAAAUCCCCCGGCUUAACCGGGGAACUGCAGUGGAUACUACUUGACUGGAGUACAGGAGGGGAGAGUGGAAUUCCAGGUGGAGCGGUGAAAUGCGUAGAUAUCUGGAGGAACGCCGGUGGCGAAAGCGACUCUCUGGUCUGUAACUGACGCUGAGGUGCGAAAGCUAGGGGAGCAAACGGG